UACGAAGGGGGGCUAGCGUUGUUCGGAAUUACUGGGCGUAAAGCGCACGUAGGCGGACUAUUAAGUCAGGGGUGAAAUCCCGGGGCUCAACCCCGGAACUGCCUUUGAUACUGGUAGUCUCGAGUCCGGAAGAGGUGAGUGGAAUUCCGAGUGUAGAGGUGAAAUUCGUAGAUAUUCGGAGGAACACCAGUGGCGAAGGCGGCUCACUGGUCCGGUACUGACGCUGAGGUACGAAAGCGUGGGGAGCAAACAGG
rnacentral:rRNA from 1 species